rnacentral:rRNA from 1 species
UGCGUAGGCGGACUAAUAAGUCAGUGGUGAAAUCUUUCGGCUCAACCGAGAAACUGCCAUUGAUACUGUUAUUCUUGAGUUCGGUUGAGGUAGGCGGAAUGUGUAAUGUAGCGGUGAAAUGCUUAGAUAUUACACAGAACACCAAUUGCGUAGGCAGCUUACUAGACCGACACUGACGCUGAGGCACGAAAGCGUGGGGAGCGAACAGGAUUAGAUACCCUGGUAGUCC